AGACGGAAAACGGCUGCUCUCGCUUCCAUCCAAAUUCCAGAAUGACAUCCACUUCUCUGUCUCUCCGUUCUCCGGCCUCCUUCCCCUUCCCGUCGGCCACCGGAGCCUGCGGCCACGUCCGCUGGGCCCAACCGCUGCCCCCCAAACUCUUCCGCUCUUCGCUUCCGCCGGCCGCCACCCCCGCAACCGCAAUAUCGCGCAGGCUCCUCGUACCGGCAGCUGCUGGCCUUUGGGACCUCCUCUCCGGCGGAGCUGGCGGCGCAGCCGCCGCUACUCUCGCCGUCCGUCGAGGCAUGCAGCUCUUCAAGCAGGGAGAUGUGGCUGGGUCAGUGGCGGAGUUCGAUCGAGCGAUUGAGUUGGAUCCACGGCAGAAAGCAUAUCUCUGGCAGAGGGGGCUUUCGUUGUAUUACUUAGACAGGUUCGAAGACGCCGCGGAGCAGUUCAGGCUGGAUGUUGCUCAAAACCCCAAUGACACCGAGGAGUCGAUAUGGUGCUUUCUGUGUGAAGCUCAGCUGUAUGGGGUAGAGGAAGCAAGGAAGCGCUUCUUGGAGGUUGGUUUAGAUCGAAGACCUGUAAUGCAUGAGGCUUACGCCUUGUUCAAAGAUGGCGGGGACCCUGAGAAGUUUGCUUCAAACUUUUCUAGUAGUUCUGAUGGCGAACUCUUUUAUGCAUCAUUAUAUGCUGGACUUUACUAUGAAUCUCAGAGGAAUGCAGAUUUGGCAAAAUCUCAUAUUGUUGCUGCAUGCAAGUCACCUUAUGGAUCAAGGUCUGGUGAUUACAUGGCUUUCCUCGCAUCGGUUCACUGUCAGUGUCGCAACUGGACUCUUGAGGGAUAGGAAUCUUGACAUAGUCAUAAAGAUGAUUUAAUCAUUGCCAUUGGAUUGGAGUCAGCAAAUAGACAGCACCUUAGGUCUAUUCUUCCAUGGCACAAAAUGUGGGGAUAUACGGUAUUCAAGUUAUGUUUUGCCAGUCCAUGCCUGGAAGUAGGGUUGUCAAGGAGCAAAGAUCAAGGUAUAAUUCGGAAAGGAGGAAAUAGCCCCCGUCCCCGAUGAACAUAUCCAUAUGCUAUUCCCAGAGCCGGCCCUAUGUUUUUCAAGGCCCUUGGGCGAAAUCAACAAAAAGAUCCUUAAGACUAACAUAUGUGUACGCAUAACUAGAUACUCCCUCCGUUCCUUUUUAUAAUAAUGCCUAUAGAUUUUUGGCAUUUGUUUCA